rnacentral:rRNA from 1 species
GACGAACGCUGGCGGCAGGCCUGACACAUGCAAGUCGAACGCUCUCUUCGGAGAGAGUGGCAGACGGGUGAGUAACGCGUGGGAACCUACCCAAGGGUUCGGAAUAACUCAGGGAAACUUGAGCUAAUACCGGAUACGCCUUGCGAGGGAAAGAUUUAUCGCCCUUGGACGGGCCCGCGUCGGAUUAGCUUGUUGGUGGGGUAACGGCUCACCAAGGCUACGAUCCGUAGCUGGUCUGAGAGGAUGAUCAGCCACACUGGGACUGAGACACGGCCCAGACUCCUACGGGAGGCAGCAGUGGGGAAUCUUGCACAAUGGGCGCAAGCCUGAUGCAGCCAUGCCGCGUGAGUGAAGAAGGCCCUAGGGUUGUAAGCUCUUUCAGCGGGGAAGAUAUGACGGUACCCCGCAGAAGAAGCCCCGGCUAACUCCGUGCCAGCAGCCG